AACUUUGAGGGUUAGAAUUUGAUUUGGUUGGAUUUAGUAGAUUGUUUGAAGUUUCACGAUGAUUAGAACAUUAAUUUAUCAUAACUCAGGUGAUUACAAUGUAACUUAAUUAUUAGGUAGCAAUAAGUUAAUUAUGAUUAAUUAAAUUGUACUUAUUUUGACAUUAUAAAAUGAUGUCUAAAAAUACUCAUUAAAUGUACAAUAAUGAAUAUCGGAAAUCAUGAGUAAAUGUUUUUAGACUAGUUUGUGAUUGGUGAUUAAUUGUUAGAUGGGUUAAGUGUCACAUAAAUAAUCAUCUGCUUGGAUUGAUUAACGUUAAUCACUUGGAUAUAAAUACCAUAACUCACUGAUAGUUGAUCAUCAUUCAUUGGUUAACCGUAAUCGAGUUAGAACAAUUUAAUUUCGUGACUUUAAUCAACUAAGAUCCAAACAAAAUCCAAAAAACAAUGGAAGCCAAAACCCUCAUCGUUUACAUUGCCGCUUUCGCUUCAGCAAUCGCCUUGGUUUUUGCUGAACCCGAACCAGAGCCUGAACCAAUCUUGAAAUCUAUUGGACUUGAUCUUGGAGGUAUUCUCGGUUGAACAAUCAAUUGAUUCAUUUGAUUAAUAUUAAUAUUAUCAACAGAAUAAUAAGAAAUUAACAUGAAAUAAAAUUAAUUUGAAAAGCAA